rnacentral:rRNA from 1 species
AUUGAACGCUGGCGGCAUGCUUUACACAUGCAAGUCGAACGGUAACAGGCCGCAAGGUGCUGACGAGUGGCGAACGGGUGAGUAAUGCAUCGGAACGUGCCCAGUCGUGGGGGAUAACUACUCGAAAGAGUAGCUAAUACCGCAUACGAUCUAUGGAUGAAAGCGGGGGACCGUAAGGCCUCGCGCGAUUGGAGCGGCCGAUGUCAGAUUAGGUAGUUGGUGGGGUAAAGGCUCACCAAGCCAACGAUCUGUAGCUGGUCUGAGAGGACGACCAGCCACACUGGGACUGAGACACGGCCAAGACUCCUGCGGGAGGCAGCAGUGGGGAAUUUUGGACAAUGGGCGCAAGCCUGAUCCAGCAAUGCCGCGUGCAGGAAGAAGGCCUUCGGGUUGUAAACUGCUUUUGUACGGAACGAAACGGCUCUGGUUAAUACCCGGGGCUAAUGACGGUACCGGAAGAAUAAGCACCGGCUAACUACGUG